CGAAGCGCCGCAAGCCGGCCACCACGCACGCCUGCUCCUGCCACAGGCUCCGCAGCUCUACGGCCUGUGUGUGGGCGGCCUUGUGACACCUUCCACUAUCGCUCAGCUUUAUCAUCGAGGGCCCUUAGCAUGGAGGCUGAGAGACAGAGCCAAGGCAAGCCGGACAGCGGAGUCCCACCUAGGUGUCCCCUGACCCCCGUGGAGAGUCUGCGGUUUCUGGCGGCUCCAGGUUCCAGACUUGGCUGGAGAAGGAAGCGACAGCCAGCAGCUGGGGUUUGAGAAGAGGGGCACCCCAUCUUGCUACCUCACUGUAUUCCACAGGGCCCCCAACAGGGGGAACAGGAAGGUCCAAGAUGGCUGCUGCUGCCUCCAACCUGCCCCUGGGCCUCAGAGGAUGAGGGUGCUGGGGUGGCUGGAAGUCCAGGCCCCAAAAUUGAGUUACUAUGUCAAAAAGAGAAAGAUUUAAUUUGCUGGAUAUUGAAGGCAGGAAGGAAAGAACAUGCAGAGACUAACAGUGGCAGGGAGCCCCUUGUCCACCAGGGAAGGAGAAACAACAGGAAAUGUCACAGUUCCCGAACCCAGGAGUGCAACCCCGGAGGCCAUGGUACCUUGGGGGUCUCUGGGCAUUGGGCACCCAGGUGCCACGUGUGUAGUUCCACACCCCACCUCUCGUCUCUCCAGGGUGCAGCAGCCCUUCUGAGAUGGAAGCAAGCCCUGGGACCAACAGCACAACGGCAUAGGACUCAUUCCUCCUGGAGCGUUUAUCAUCUGGCACUUGGCAUGAUACAUUGGCCAGGCCUGAAAACCAGAAAGUCACCUGGAUAAAAAGUGGGCACGGCUCCCCAGGAGCUGCAAGCCCUGCUGGAUGUCACUGCAGGGGCUGUGGAGGGCACAGCAACCGAGGUCACUGGGAGGCCGACCUGCUGACAAAGGGUCCAGGACACGGACACCUGAGGUAUCUCGGAUCAUGCCUGCUGGGGGCUUCAGGUCACUCAGUCCCAAGUGUGGAGGCAAAGGGAGCUGGUGGGACCCCUCCUGAGCUCGCUUCAGACUCUACCCUGCAGAGAAAGGGGCUACUACUCAAAGGGCUUGACCUCACCACCACCCACCU